AUGUUGGUAUUCCUCUUUUUGGUCUUUUAGGUAUUUAAUGGAAUCAUUGGUAUGUUGUAAUUGAUGUUAAUGUAUAGUGAAUAAACCUACCUACAGUAGUUGGAAAACUGCUAUGUGUAAGAUCGUUAAACAGUUGGGGACCGGAUGAUGAACUCAAAGCUCUAGUAUAUAAGUCUAUGAAUAUGGAGGUCUAUAACCGUUUGAAGAUGAAUUCU
rnacentral:lncRNA from 1 species